ACCUUACAUGUGAAUUGUUACAGUAUAAUGAAGGGAACGAUGUAUAUACAGCUAAGGCAGUCUCUUCCUUCUUACUGGACAAAUAAAUCUUCAGCUGAACACUACCCAGAAUGUCUAGAUGCAUCACAGAUCACACUGCAGAGAGUCAAGAUGAAGAAAACAUGUGUUGUGCUUGUCCACAUCGGUUACUGGUUAGUUUAUUACAACUCCAGCUCAGCUAAACUUUAAAAAUGGACAAGUAGCUUGAUGGAUCAGCUCUAUUAUUUCCUCCUUGACCUGCUGUUUGAGGAUUUCUGCCUCCUCCCAUUCUCUUGCAACACAACAUUAUUAGCUCCUACCAUCUGCUUGUUCUGCAACCUUGCGUCGUCUCUCCGCCGGCUCCUACAACUCUCCUUCUCACUUCUCCAUCUGUACCAUACAGGAUGCAGAUAUUGCCAUAUGGUGGUACUUUAAUGAGCAUUUAGUGGACUUUCUUGUGCCGCCUUUCCUGCACACAUGAGUUUACAGUUAACAUUUUCGUUAAAGAUAGUUUUUGCACGCACCCUGCAAAGUGGGAAAGGUACCAGUGCAUAUUAUAUUAUGAACCAGUGCCAAAUCUAGAGUAUUCUACGGAAGAGUCAGAGUACGAGUACGAGGAAGAAGAGUCAGAGUACGGGGAAGAAGAACCAGAUCAUUAUGAAGAAAAGCCAUCACCAAUUCACCAGGCGAGAUUGGGUGGCCUGGGCUCAGAAGAAGCAUCUCCAUAUGAUCUUAGUAGAAAAGGUUUAUCCAGUUAAGUGUUUAUUUGGGCAAAAGCCGGUCAACUAUGUUGUUCACACAAAGCAUGAGGAAGAAAUCAUAGUGAUGGUCGGCUAUUCGGCUCAGUUGAUCAACAUCCAAAGAAAUGGCACCAUUACUUGAUGGUUGGUCAUGCCGGCUCGUCUAUGCUUGCCACCUGCUGCCACCGAGCAGCCCAAACAUCUUUUCAUUUGUCUAGUGUCUUCCCUUGUGGACCCAAUUAAUAUAACGAUUUAGCACACUCGCAUUGUGACGUUGCCAAUGUUGUUUUUAUCGUGAUU